rnacentral:rRNA from 1 species
CCUACGGGGGGCAGCAGUGAGGAAUAUUGGUCAAUGGACGAGAGUCUGAACCAGCCAAGUAGCGUGAAGGAUGACUGCCCUAUGGGUUGUAAACAUCUUUUAUAAAGGAAUAAAACGAGGCACGUGUGCCUUUUUGCAUGUACUUUAUGAAUAAGGAUCGGCUAACUCCGUGCCAGCAGCCGCGGUAAUACGGAGGAUCCGAGCGUUAUCCGGAUUUAUUGGGUUUAAAGGGAGCGUAGAUGGGUUGUUAAGUCAGUUGUGAAAUUUUGCGGCUCAACCGUAAAAUUGCAAUUGAUACUGGCAGUCUUGAGUACAGUUGAGGUAGGCAGAAUUCGUGGUGUAGCGGUGAAAUGCGUAGAGAUCACGAAGAACCCCGAUUGCGAAGGCAGCUUACUAAACUGUGACUGACAUUGAGGCGCGAAAGUGUGGGUAUCAAACAGGAUUAGAUACCCCUGUAGUC